UGGGGAAUAUUGGACAAUGGGCGAAAGCCUGAUCCAGCCAUGCCGCGUGUGUGAAGAAGGUCUUCGGAUUGUAAAGCACUUUAAGUUGGGAGGAAGGGCAGUAAGCGAAUACCUUGCUGUUUUGCCGUUACCGACAGAAUAAGCACCGGCUAACUCUGUGCCAGCAGCCGCGGUAAUACAGAGGGUGCAAGCGUUAAUCGGAAUUACUGGGCGUAAAGCGCGCGUAGGUGGUUCGUUAAGUUGAAUGUGAAAGCCCCGGGCUCAACCUGGGAACUGCAUCCAAAACUGGCGAGCUAGAGUAGGGCAGAGGGUGGUGGAAUUUCCUGUGUAGCGGUGAAAUGCGUAGAUAUAGGAAGGAACACCAGUGGCGAAGGCGACCACCUGGGCUCAUACUGACACUGAGGUGCGAAAGCGUGGGGAGCAAACAGG
rnacentral:rRNA from 1 species